CGCGGCCUAUCAGCUUGUUGGUGAGGUAACGGCUCACCAAGGCAUCGACGGGUAGCUGGUCUGAGAGGAUGAUCAGCCACACUGGAACUGAGACACGGUCCAGACUCCUACGGGAGGCAGCAGUGGGGAAUAUUGCACAAUGGGCGCAAGCCUGAUGCAGCGAUGCCGCGUGCGGGAAGAAGGCCCUAGGGUUGUAAACCGCUUUCAGCAGGGAAGAAAAUGACGGUACCUGUAGAAGAAGGUGCGGCCAACUACGUGCCAGCAGCCGCGGUGACACGUAGGCACCAAGCGUUGUCCGGAUUUAUUGGGCGUAAAGAGCUCGUAGGCGGUUCAGUAAGUCGGGUGUGAAAACUCUGGGCUCAACCCAGAGACGCCACCCGAUACUGCUGUGACUUGAGUACGGUAGGGGAGCGGGGAAUUCCUGGUGUAGCGGUGAAAUGCGCAGAUAUCAGGAGGAACACCAGUGGCGAAGGCGCCGCUCUGGGCCGAAACUGACGCUGAGGAGCGAAAGCAUGGGUAGCAAACAGGAUUAGAUACCCUGGUAGUCCAUGCCGUAAACGUUGGGCACUAGGUGUGGGUCUCAACCAACGAGAUCCGCGCCGUCGCUAACGCAUUAAGUGCCCCGCCUGGGGAGUACGG
rnacentral:rRNA from 2 species